rnacentral:misc_RNA from 1 species
AGUACUAUACCUAUAAGCCAGUUUGACCAAGUAUUUUACUGUAUUACCCUCACUUAAUUUUAAAAUUUCACUACAUAUCUCAUUUAAUAUCCUUAAUAGUAAUUUUAAUAAUAACUUUAUUUUCCCUCUUCCCUCCACUAACUUUAUUUUCCCUUUUCUUCUACCUUAUUGAUUUUGCAUUAGUAAGCAUGAUCAUCUUACCUUUUAAAACAUGUGCAGAAACAAAUAGCGAAAUAAUAUUUUGGUAACCCUUAAUGCAAGAAACAAAUAAUGAGGUCUCCUUAAUUAACAUUCAAUGUGUUAGUAGAAGACUUGGCCAGCUUCAUUCCACUAAAAAUAACUAAACCUCAUUCUUCAAGAUACAACUAAAUUUUUCUAUUAAACAGUUAUAUUUAAAGAGCGUUCUUAGCUUACAAGUUGGUCAAAUCAACUCGUAAGCUCUAAAAUAAGUUUACAUGAUUGUUUAUAACAUUUUUUAGGCUUAUGAGUUCAACUUAUAGGAUUUGUUGUCCAAUAGAGUUGAAUAGCGAAAAAUGAUCCUUUUUGCCAACCCCAACCACUUUGGGAUUAAAUCUUAGAAGUUGGAUAAUCUAAGCUUAUAAGCUAAAAAAAAAAUAAGCUAG